rnacentral:RNase_P_RNA from 1 species
GAAGUCGGCCAGACCGCCGCUGGUGCAAGGACCGAAAGGUCGCACUGGAGGAAGGUCCGGACUGCACAGGGCAGCGUAGGAGGUAACACCUCUCCACCGCGAGGUGAGGAUCAGAGCAACAGAGACGAGCCGAUUCAGUUCGGGUGAAACGGGCAAUCUCUACGCGCAGCAACACCAAAUAGGCACACGUUGACCUGGCCCGGGGAGUGUGCGGGU